GUUAUUUAGAGGUGUAACCAGACCUCACCUUGUUGACCUGCCCUCCUAGAGAGUUCUCCAUAGUCUCUGAUGCUAUUCCAUCUGGAACUCUCAUGUUAUUUAGAGGUGUAGCCAGACCUCACCUUGUUGACCUGCCCUCCUAGAGAGUUCUCCAUAGUCUCUGAUGCUAUUCCAUCUGGAACUCUCAUGUUAUUUAGAGGUGUAACCAGACCUCACCUUGUUGACCUGCCCUCCUAGAGAGUUCUCCAUAGUCUCUGAUGCUAUUCCAUCUGGAACUCUCAUGUUAUUUAGAGGUGUAACCAGACCUCACCUUGUUGACCUGCCCUCCUAGAGAGUUCUCCAUAGUCUCUGAUGCUAUUCCAUCUGGAACUCAUGUUAUUUAGAGGUGUAACCAGACCUCACCUUGUUGACCUGCCCUCCUAGAGAGUUCUCCAUAGUCUCUGAUGCUAUUCCAUCUGGAACU